CCUACGGGGGGCAGCAGUGGGGAAUAUUGGACAAUGGGGGGAACCCUGAUCCAGCCAUGCCGCGUGUGUGAAGAAGGCCCUCGGGUUGUAAAGCACUUUCAGUGAGGAAGAACGCCUGGUGGUUAAUACCCAUCAGGAAAGACAUCACUCACAGAAGAAGCACCGGCUAACUCCGUGCCAGCAGCCGCGGUAAUACGGAGGGUGCGAGCGUUAAUCGGAAUUACUGGGCGUAAAGCGCGCGUAGGUGGCUUGAUAAGCCGGUUGUGAAAGCCCCGGGCUCAACCUGGGAACGGCAUCCGGAACUGUCAAGCUAGAGUGCAGGAGAGGAAGGUAGAAUUCCCGGUGUAGCGGUGAAAUGCGUAGAGAUCGGGAGGAAUACCAGUGGCGAAGGCGGCCUUCUGGACUGACACUGACACUGAGGUGCGAAAGCGUGGAUAGCAAACAGGAUUAGAUACCCGAGUAGUC
rnacentral:rRNA from 1 species